CUGAAGACGGGGUUGGAGGAGGCCCCCACAGAAGAAGAUGUAAAGUUGGGAUAACUUGAUAUCAAGGGUAGGCUGGCGAGGGACCUCAUAAAGGGGACUGACCUCAGUUGUCUCAUCAUUUCACAGGCGUGAUGCCACCUGCCUAUGCUGUCACUGUGUGGGGUGUGCCGAGAGUUAACACAGGGGUGGUCAGUCCUGGUGGCCUCAGGACGUACUUGGUAAACCCCGUUCGCUCAGCACAGCCAGUUCCCACAGUGGAGAGCGCACAGUUCCAGAGGAUGUGGAUGUAGAUUUGGACGGGGCAGGAAAUAGACUAAGGGCUUUUUGAAGAAGUUUCCAUGGGGAGGUCCGGGUGGAUUCCUACCCACGUGCACUAAGGCACAGCAACUCCAGAGGAGAUGACGCCAAGGCUGCACAGACAGAACCCCGCAGGGGCAAAGCAAGCUCCAACCCCUGCACCUGCCACUGGGAGGGGACCCUCGAAGAGUCCCACCUCUCACAGGAGGGCAGAGCUGUGUCUGCUCAGGGCCUCUCCGGCUGCCUCCCAGCUCUGGUGUGGGGUGGAGGCAGGCAAAGAAGCAUAAAGGCGAAGCCGAGGAAGUGCCACAGAGAAUGCUGUUGAAGGCCAGGGGAGAGAUGGGAUGUGGGGGCUUCUCAGGGUGAAAUGAAUCACUUGGAGAGCCAUUUUUUUCUUCUGGGUUUUUUCUUUCUCCAACUGGUCUCUCCUAGACCCAGUCCAAACCGCAGCUCCUCGGGGAGUUGGCCAGCCC
rnacentral:lncRNA from 1 species